UACGUAGGAGGCGAGCGUUGUCCGGAGUUACUGGGCGUAAAGGGUGCGCAGGCGGCCCCGCCGCGUGGGGGGGUGAAAAUCUCUCCGCUUAACGGGGGAGGGGGCUUCCCAGACGGGCGGGCUUGAGGGGCGGAGAGGGGCGCGGAAUUCCGGGUGGAGCGGUGAAAUCGUAGAGAUCCGGAAGAACACCGACGGCGAAGGCAGCGCCCUGGACGCCAACUGACGCUCGGGCACGAAAGCGCGGGGAGCGAACAGGG
rnacentral:rRNA from 1 species